rnacentral:rRNA from 1 species
UACGUAGGGUGCGAGCGUUGUCCGGAAUUAUUGGGCGUAAAGAGCUCGUAGGCGGUUUGUUGCGUCGGCCGUGAAAACCUGCAGCUUAACUGUGGGCCUGCGGCCGAUACGGGCAGACUUGAGUUCGGUAGGGGAGACUGGAAUUCCUGGUGUAGCGGUGAAAUGCGCAGAUAUCAGGAGGAACACCGGUGGCGAAGGCGGGUCUCUGGGCCGAUAUUGACGCUGAGGAGCGAAAGCGUGGGGAGCGAACAGG